rnacentral:lncRNA from 13 species
GCUUUGUGGUCACAGGGGUGUAGGAAAAAACUACAUGCAAGACAGCAGGCUCCUCACACUAGAACCAGGUUUCUAUUGAGAAAAAAGCAAACAGUGUUCAGAGAAGGAAUAAAGGAUCCAGGAAUUUUGCAGAUGAUAGAUCCUGAAUUUUGGAGAGCACGGUGACCAGGUUUCUAUUGAGAAAAAAGCAAACAGUGUUCAGAGAAGGAAUAAAGGAUCCAGGAAUUUUGCAGAUGAUAGAUCCUGAAUUUUGGAGAGCACGGUGAAAAUGUUUCAAACUAGGGAGAACUUAGAGAUGGGCCAUAUUAGCAUAUGCACAGAGCCUUGUGAGGAUGAACCUCUGUGUAACUGACGGGUUUCUGCAAGUGACUCAAGAAAGGAAGCUAAAUUCAAUAAGGAGCACGGAGAAGCAGUGGUCGUCCAUUUCUGGCUGGUGCUAACACAUAUGAAGAGCAACCCACUUUUUUUGGCUGCGAAUGAGCCAUGGGGAACUCCCCUUGAGAUAAUAGGAAUCUUAAUGAAUGAAAUAGAUGAUGUUGUUAUCCGAUAUUGAAGAAAUGAGACCUAAGACAUAAAAUGAUGAAGCACGGUAAGAAAGCACUGAUUUGAAAUUAUCUUUUAAAUUUAGAUGCAUAAUUAAAAAUGU